GGGGCUUUAAUUUUGAAAUCCAGAGAGGGCGGUGCUGUCGGUGUAUGAGAUGUGAAGCACUUGAACGCACCACUGGGGAAUGGAGCCCACAAUGAAGAUGAUGGAUUCAUAGCAAGAAUACAUUUGAUCGUGAAUCAAGGGAGGAGAACACUCGGUUGUUUAUCGGAUUAUGGGUCGUUUAUGGAUCUGCUGCCCGUUAACUUUAUUAAUAAUACUUGUUUUUGUGAAGCCAACGUUGACGGACAUUGACGACGAGUCUUGCAAUGGUGCAUUCGAUGUCUAUUUUGUGUUGGACAGGUCGGGCAGUGUGUCGGCACACUGGCAUGACAUCUAUGGAUUUGUGGAGCAGCUCACCAAAAAGUUUGUCAGUCCCAGGAUGAGGGUGUCCUACAUCGUCUUCUCAGCCCAAGCCGUAGUAAUCCUGCCUCUGACUGGAGACAGGUCCAAGAUAGAUGAAGGCUUGAAUAAACUCAGCCAGAUCAAGCCUGCAGGGGAAACAUACAUGCAUGAAGGCUUGAGAGCGGUGUCGCAGCAGAUGAAAACACAAAUGACGCCAUCGCGCAGCAUCAUCAUCCUUCUGACUGAUGGCAAGCUGGAGGUUUACCCUUUUGAGCUGAGUGUGCAGGAGGCGGACCUGGCCAGAGGCUUUGGAGCCCGAGUGUACUGUGUGGGGGUCAUGGACUUUGACCACAAACAGCUUGCUGAAAUAGCAGACGGCGCAGAACAGGUCUUCCCCGUGCUGUCGGGCUUCCACGCCCUCAAAGAUGUCGUCAGCUCUAUCCUCAAGCAGUCCUGCUCGGAAAUAUUCACCAUAGAGCCGUCAACUGUUUGUGUCAAUGAGUCCUUCAAUGUGGUUCUGAGAGGCAGCGGCUUCAGCGGAUCAAAGAGGACGGACAACGUUCUCUGCUUUCUAACAGUCAGUCACAACACAUACAGCCAGAAAGCAACAGUGGCCGUCGAUGGCUACCUGCUGUGUCCAGCUCCUGUGCUGCACGAAAUGGGACAGUCAGUGGAGGUGCUGGUGAGCUUCAACGAUGGCCAAUCGUAUAUUGCGGCUCCCGUGACCAUCUAUGCCACGACCUGUUCCAAUGGCGGUUGGGUGUUGUGGUUGCUGCUGGCUCUUCUCAUCUCGCUGCUUCUGGCUUUACUUUGGUGGUUUUGGCCUCUGUGCUGCACUGUGGUGAUCAGAGACCCUCCACCCACUCGUGCUCCGCCUCCUCCUCCUCCUGUCAUUGAGCAAGAAGAAGAUUAUUCCCCCAAACACAAGUGGCCGACAGUGGAUGCGUCUUAUUAUGGAGGCAGAGGUCCUGGUGGAAUCAAACGCAUGGAGUUGUGUAUGUGUUGCAGGUGCGCUGGGGUGAGAAAGGUUCCACAGAGGAAGGUUCCAGGCUGGAGAAAGCCAAGAAUGCUGUUGUCAUCAUGCCGGAAGACGAGGACGAGCCCGUCAUACCUCGACCGCCACCCAGACCCCCUCCAGUCUAUAAUUCCUUACCACACAAAUGGUACACCCCCAUCAAGGGGCGUUGUGAUGCGUUGUUGGCGUUGUUGAGAAGACAAUAUGACCGAGUCGCCAUCAUGAGGCCAACACAGAACCACAAGGGCCGCUGCAUCAACUUCACCCGAGUCCACUGAAACACAAGAAAUGUAUUUUUUAUACACUGUUGUAAUGUAUUAUGAUUAUUAUUAUUAAAUGUCUUUCCAUUUA